AGCUCCAGUAGCGUAUAUGAAAUUUGUUGCGGUUGAAAAGCUCGUAGUCGGAGUUAGGGUACGCUUGUUUCGGUCCUGCCUCGUGCUUGCACUGAACGGACGUGCUCCAACCGCCGAAGGGCGGCUCCUGGGCUUGAUUGUUCGGGACCGUUCCUUGGCAGGGUUACUUUGAGGAAAUUUGAGUGUUCAAGGCACGCGCUUCGCGUGACUUCACUAGCAUGGAAUAACAUCGAUGGGCUCCUGCCAUCCUGUUGGCUUGGUGGCUUGGAGCAACGAUCGAUAGGAGUGGUUCGGGGGCGUCCGUACCGACGGGAGAGAGGUGAAAUUCUUGGACCCUGUCGAGACGAACUCAUGCGAAAGCAGUCGCCAAGGACACUUCCUUGUGAUCAAGAACGAAAGU
rnacentral:rRNA from 1 species